UAAUACGGAGGUUGCAAGCGUUGUUCGGAAUAACUGGGCGUAAAGGGAGCGCAGGCGGUCUCGUAAGUCUAAAGUGAAAUGCCAGGGCUCAACCUUGGACGUGCUUUGGAUACUGCGUGACUUGAGUACGUGAGAGGAGAGUGGAAUUCCAGGUGUAGCGGUGAAAUGCGUAGAUAUCUGGAGGAACACCGGUGGCGAAAGCGGCUCUCUGGCACGUUACUGACGCUGAGGCUCGAAAGCGUGGGGAGCGAACGGGAUUAGAUACCCCGGUAGUCCACGCCGUAAACGUUGUGCACUAGGUGUAGGAGGUAUCGACCCCUUCUGUGCCGCAGCUAACGCAUUAAGUGCACCGCCUGGGGAGUACGGUCGCAAGACUGAAACUCAAAUGAAUUGACGG
rnacentral:rRNA from 1 species